AACGAACGCUGGCGGCAGGCUUAACACAUGCAAGUCGAGCGCCCCGCAAGGGGAGCGGCAGACGGGUGAGUAACGCGUGGGAAUCUACCCAUCUCUGCGGAAUAACGCAUGGAAACGUGUGCUAAUACCGUAUACGUCCUUCGGGAGAAAGAUUUAUCGGAGAUGGAUGAGCCCGCGUUGGAUUAGCUAGUUGGUGGGGUAAAGGCCUACCAAGGCGACGAUCCAUAGCUGGUCUGAGAGGAUGAUCAGCCACACUGGGACUGAGACACGGCCCAGACUCCUACGGGAGGCAGCAGUGGGGAAUAUUGGACAAUGGGCGCAAGCCUGAUCCAGCCAUGCCGCGUGAGUGAUGAAGGCCCUAGGGUUGUAAAGCUCUUUCACCGGUGAAGAUAAUGACGGUAACCGGUGAAGAAGCCCCGGCUAACUUCGUGCCAGCCGCCGCGGUAACAC
rnacentral:rRNA from 1 species